CCUACGGGAGGCUGCAGUAGGGAAUAUUGGGCAAUGGCCGAGAGGCUGACCCAGCCAUGCCGCGUGUAGGAUGAAGGCUUUCUGAGUUGUAAACUACUUUUGAUCGGGAACAAAAAGGCUAUGCGUAGCAAAUUGAGUGUACCGAUAGAAUAAGCACCGGCUAACUCCGUGCCAGCAGCCGCGGUAAUACGGAGGGUGCAAGCGUUGUCCGGAUUUAUUGGGUUUAAAGGGUGCGUAGGCGGCCCUGUAAGUCAGUGGUGAAAUGCGGCAGCUUA
rnacentral:rRNA from 1 species